AUUGACGCUGGCGGCAGGCCUAACACAUGCAAGUCGAACGAGUGGCGGACGGGUGAGUAAUGUCUGGGAAACUGCCUGAUGGAGGGGGAUAACUACUGGAAACGGUAGCUAAUACCGCAUACCAUCGGAUGUGCCCAGAUGGGAUGAGCUAGUAGGUGGGGUAAAGGCUCACCUAGGCGACGAUCCCUAGCUGGUCUGAGAGGAUGACCAGCCACACUGGAACUGCGACACGGGCCAGAAGCCUACGGGAGGCAGCAGUGGGGAAUAUGGCACAAUGGGGGCAAGCCGGAUGCAGCGACGCCGCGUGGGGGAUGAAGGCUUUCGGGUUGUAAACCUCGUUCGCGAUCGAACGGGUAGGUGGAGAAGAAGCACCGGCUAACUCCGUGCCAGCAGCCGCGGUAAUAC
rnacentral:rRNA from 1 species